CCGUGAUUUGUUGAAACGAUGUGUUUCCCUUUGCUUUGUAACGUUACUUUAUUUUAAAACGCCUUUAUUCUGACAGGUAGCUAAGCUAGCUAGCUAACGGUACUGGAGUGUACACGUCAUCACCGAGCCUUUGUGUACGGAAGUAGGAAAGCGGAAGCUCUGCAGCGUCACCCGAGAGAGGCGAAACAUGAAGAGGGCUCACUCUGUCUCGGAUUUUGAACACUGAAAAUAUAGGUGUCAGAGUAUUUCUUGUCUGUCCAUCUAGAGGCGUCCUUCUUGCCUGCGGUCAGAGACACCAAAACUAAUGAUAUCAAACUUUUCAUAGUGAGGUCGUGGGGUUCUCUUUGUCUGCCCUUUAUCUUUCAGCCCUGAGGAAAGGAUGAGAUGAGCUUACUGGUUUUCCUCCACACCUGAGCACCACGGGCACAAACUGGAAUCCAGACUCCAGGUAAAAAUCCAUCAUUUCAACCCUGCCGCCUGCUCAAUUGACCAUCACACAUGUAUAAACCUUCUCUACACCCAUGUGUCUCGUCACCUAUUGUGAGGAACUCAGCCACCAUCCCAGUCCACCCCAGCCUCUGAGUUAGGCCCCCCCAUAGAGGUGUAGACCUCCUCCUCUCUCACACAUGUCUGACACUCCACGUGGCAGCACCAGCGUACCUGGCAGUGGCAGGACAGGCUGGUGAGGCGCAUGGCUGUGUUGUAACCACGUCCGCAGCACAGACUCUGACAACUGGUGUCUUUGGCACAUGAUCGGCCGCCUGUGCCCGGGGAGUAGCGAGAGGGCCUGCAGAAGCUGUGGGAGUCUUCCAGGUAGACCAGGUCAGUAGUGCGGAGGCUCUGGCCGUGGCGACGGGGGCCCGCAAGCUCUGUCUCCCCGGUGGCUGCGUUGGUGACACUCAGCACUCGCACUGCAGUGUCAUAUCGAUACUUCAGCAGCCGUCCAGUGUCAUGGAAAGGAGACAGCUGCUUCCAGCAAGUCCGUAUGGCGCAAGAGCCGGAGACACCGUGACACUUGCAGGCCCGCACAGCAAGCUUUAUCAUGCCUGAGAACACCUGGCUCCAACGAUCCCACAGCCAUCUUGUCUCCCUGCUACACCGCCUCACCCUCUGCCUCUGUAUUAUCCACCAAGGCCAGCGACGGAAGCAAAUAAGGGGGCGUUUGUCUGGCUGGCACUGUGCAAAAUAUG